GAUGAAGAACGUAGUGAAAUGCGAUAAGUAAUGCGAAUUGCAGAAUUUCCGUGAGUCAUCGAAUCUUUGAACGCACAUUGCGCCCGCCAGUAUUCUGGCGGGCAUGCCUGUUCGAGCGUCAUUACAACCCUCAGGCCCCCGGGCCUGGCGUUGGGGAUCGGCGGAAGCCCCCUGCGGGCACAACGCCGUCCCCCAAAUACAGUGGCGGUCCCGCCGCAGCUUCCAUUGCGUAGUAGCUAACACCUCGCAACUGGAGAGCGGCGCGGCCACGCCGUAAAACACCCAACUUCUGAAUGUUGACCUCGAAUCAGGUAGGAAUACCCGCUGAACUUAAGCAUAUCAAUAAGCGGAGGA
rnacentral:misc_RNA from 1 species